CCUACGGGAGGCAGCAGUGGGGAAUAUUGGACAAUGGGGGGAACCCUGAUCCAGCCAUGCCGCGUGUGUGAAGAAGGCCCUCGGGUUGUAAAGCACUUUCAGUGAGGAAGAACGCCUGGUGGUUAAUACCCAUCAGGAAAGACAUCACUCACAGAAGAAGCACCGGCUAACUCCGUGCCAGCAGCCGCGGUAAUACGGAGGGUGCGAGCAUUAAUCGGAAUUACUGGGCGUAAAGCGCGCGUAGGUGGCUUGAUAAGCCGGUUGUGAAAGCCCCGGGCUCAACCUGGGAACGGCAUCCGGAACUGUCAAGCUAGAGUGCAGGAGAGGAAGGUAGAAUUCCCGGUGUAGCGGUGACAUGCGUAGAGAUCGGGAGGAAUACCAGUGGCGAAGGCGGCCUUCUGGACUGACACUGACACUGAGGUGCGAAAGCGUGGGUAGCAAACAGGAUUAGAUACCCGUGUAGUC
rnacentral:rRNA from 1 species